rnacentral:lncRNA from 1 species
UUGAGUUGGAAAAUCCAUAUAUAUUAUUUUAUACAUUAUUUAUUUACAUAUUAAUAUUUUCUAUACAGUGUAUGUCAUUCCACAUUGUGCUGGGUCUGGCUGCCUUUUAUAUUAUGCUCUGCUUUUGACAGCAACUGGAUAUGAAAUUUGGGUCUUCAUUGAGCUGUGAUGAUUAAUACCCUUUCCUUCAAUGCUACAGGAGCUCAUGGUACUUCAUGUUUUCAGUUCACUGUGAGAAACAUUUCAAAGCAUGGUUCAGUGCUUUGCUGUACUGUACAGCAGAGAAGGUAUAUUGGAUUUGGGAGUUACAAAUGAAGAAGUAAGCAAACUGGAUUAAUCCUGAGUGUUAAAAUGGCAAAUGGUGCAGAAAGAAAU